rnacentral:rRNA from 1 species
GAUGAACGCUGGCGGCGUGCUUAACACAUGCAAGUCGAACGGAAAGGCCGAGGCUUGCUUCGGUACUCGAGUGGCGAACGGGUGAGUAACACGUGGGUGAUCUGCCCUGUACUUCGGGAUAAGCUUGGGAAACUGGGUCUAAUACCGGAUAUGACGAUCUCUUGGAUGGGGUUGUGGAAAGCUUUUGCGGUAUGGGAUGAGCUCGCGGCCUAUCAGCUUGUUGGUGGGGUAAUGGCCUACCAAGGCGUCGACGGGUAGCCGGCCUGAGAGGGUGUACGGCCACAUUGGGACUGAGAUACGGCCCAGACUCCUACGGGAGGCAGCAGUGGGGAAUAUUGCACAAUGGGCGCAAGCCUGAUGCAGCGACGCCGCGUGGGGGAUGACGGCCUUCGGGUUGUAAACUCCUUUCGCAAUCGACGAAGCCUUUUGGUGACGGUAGGUUGAGAAGAAGCACCGGCUAACUACGU